rnacentral:rRNA from 1 species
CUGCUGCCUCCCGUAGGAGUCUGGUCCGUGUCUCAGUACCAGUGUGGGGGACCUUCCUCUCAGAACCCCUACGCAUCGUCGCCACGGUGGGCCGUUACCCCGCCGUCUAGCUAAUGCGCCGCAUGCCCAUCCUCUUCCGAUGAAUCUUUCCUCGAUCUCGGAUGCCCCGAAACCGAUAUACGCGGGAUUAGCCUCCCUUUCGGAAGGUUCGUCCCCCUGAAGAGGGCAGGUUGCAUACGUGUUACUCACCCGUGCGCCGGUCGCCGG